GAAGAGAUAAGUGCUGAAAGCAUCUAAGCACGAAACUUGCCUCAAGAUGAGUUCUCCCCGACUAUAAGUCGGUAAGGGUUGUUGGAGACUACGACGUAGAUAGGUCUGGUGUGUAAGUGGUGUGAGCCAUUGAGCUAACAGAUACUAAUUGCCCGAGAGGCUUAACUAUACAACGCUCAAG
rnacentral:rRNA from 1 species